rnacentral:rRNA from 1 species
UACGUAGGGUGCGAGCGUUGUCCGGAAUUACUGGGCGUAAAGAGCUCGUAGGUGGUUUGUCGCGUUGUUCGUGAAAUCCCGUGGCUUAACUGCGGGCGUGCGGGCGAUACGGGCAGACUGGAGUACUGCAGGGGAGACUGGAAUUCCUGGUGUAGCGGUGGAAUGCGCAGAUAUCAGGAGGAACACCGGUGGCGAAGGCGGGUCUCUGGGCCUUACCUGACGCUCAGGUGCGAAAGCUAGGGGAGCAAACAGG